rnacentral:lncRNA from 1 species
GAUGUCAUUACACUGCACUGCGAUAGCAACGAUAUCAUAGGCCUCGCUAAGGAGCCCGAUCUCACAAGAAGUCUAAGCAUAUAGAGUGAUGAUUUCACAUCAUAUGCGAAUAUCUCGAGAAGAAGUUCGUCGAGGUGUAGAGAGUCGACUCCAUGCUGAAUGUGGAGGACACGCUGACCAAGCCUCUCAGCCAACAGAAGAUCGAUGCUCAUGUUGAG